GUCCAGCUGACGAGUCCCAACUAUGACGGAACAUGCGUCCUGGAU
rnacentral:hammerhead_ribozyme from 1 species